GCUGCGUUCAUUGAUGUUGCUGGAAUCGGUACAGACAGAGAGCCCUGGCCUUCUUGUAGGCUACCAGUGCUGGGAGGAAGAAUGCUACUGUAGGCCUAGCAGAGACAGGGAGUGUGGUAGAGUGUGGAUAAUUGGUGACAGCUAUGUCCAGCAUGGUGGUCUGAGAGCUGCAGAGAGCUUAGGAAGCAUCUUCACCCUGCUGGUCUGGCUGGCUUCUCCCCUCUGAUGUAGGACGUGUGACGGCCCCUGCUGAGUCUACGUCUACCUGAUGUGGAGCGCCUGGCCCCAUUGCGCUUCAGGAUAUAAAAGUCCCACUUUCCAUCGUGGCUGGCUCUCUUCUCUGACAGCACCUGCACUGGUCGCAGGGGGGCUGGAG